GACCAGACUCCUACGGGAGGCAGCAGUGGGGAAUAUUGCACAAUGGGGGGAACCCUGAUGCAGCGACGCCGCGUGAGUGAAGAAGUAUUUCGGUAUGUAAAGCUCUAUCAGCAGGGAAGAAAAUGACGGUACCUGACUAAGAAGCCCCGGCUAACUACGUGCCAGCAGCCGCGGUAAUACGUAGGGGGCAAGCGUUAACCGGAUUUACUGGGUAUAAAGGGAGCGUAGACGGUUAUGCAAGUCUGAAGUGAAAGCCCAAGGCUCAACCAUGGGACUGCUCUGGAAACUGUAAAGCUGGAGUGCGGGAGGGGCAGGCGGAAUUCCUGGUGUAGCGGUGAAAUGCGUAGAUAUCAGGAGGAACACCGGCGGCGAAGGCGGCCUGCUGGACCGUAACUGACGUUGAGGCUCGAAAGCGUGGGGAGCAAACAGGAUUAGAUGCCCUGGUACA
rnacentral:rRNA from 1 species